rnacentral:lncRNA from 1 species
UCAAAACAAAUUAAGAUGAAUGUUUUGUUCAAAAUUAUGUUCUUCGUCAUAUUCGUGUUCACUAUAGGUUAUUCUCUCUCUCUCUCUCUCUCUCUGUAUAUAUAUAUAUAUAUAUAUAUAUAUAUCACACUAAUAAGGAUUAUGAUGUUCCUUAUAUGUUUCAUAAACUUUUGGAGAAUGGACAAUAAUAUAUACAUGUAUUUGUGCUAUUGCAGCCUCAAUGGUUCAAUUUGCAAAAUCGCAGACAAACUUCAAAGUUGAUAGUAGAAACCAAACUCCAAGCCUAAUUUUCGACAACAAGGGUCUUAUGGAAAUAUGUAAAAAACAACAUGAUUGUGAUUUCUUCCCAUGUACAGCUCCUACCAUUGCAGUUUGUAUUGAGAAUUUAUGUGAAUGUGUUCCUCCUUAAAUAUAGGAGUACCGAAUUUCCAGUAAAAACAUCAUAUUCAGGUGUUACUUUAUGAGAACGAUG